GUGAUGUACACGUGACUGUCUUCUUUUUUUUUUUGGUAAAAAUGUAAAGCACGUGACUGUCUUUACUUGUUUCCCCCGGGUUAUGGAUACAGUUGAUAUAUCUAACUCAUGGAAUACGUACAUCCACAGAUGUAUCUUUCAUCUUUGACCCACUUAAACCUAACAAAACAAUCUAAUUGCAGCAAAAUUUUCUCAAAAAAAAAAAAAAAUUAAACAAUUUUCAAAACUAUGAUAAAGCGAAGUAAAAUCCAACAUUACAAGAUAUUUUUGUAAUUCUAAAUUUGGACAUCUAAAUAAUUGUAAACUUCAGUGCCUUAUUGUGAGUGGAGACAAAAUACAGAAAACUAUCAUACAAAUGCUGACCUCAUAAAGGUUCAUCAACAGUGUUUUGUGGGUCUGGACCAAUGAUAUAUAUUAGUAUAUUAGUUCUUAUUAUCAUUAUAUAUACAAUAUAUAAUUAUAUAUAAUAUAUGAUGAUGGGUCUUUUUCGUGCUAAAAUUAUUUGUAUUAUAAUUUUGAAAGAAAUAUAUGUAAUAGACUAAUAGUGACUUGGGACGAUAUCCAAUAAAAUUUAAACUAUAUUUAAUAAUUAUUUAUUCAUUUUCGUUAAUAAAAAAAAUUAAUUCAU
rnacentral:lncRNA from 1 species